GCUAGUUUUUAGUAUCUGAUAGCAGCACAUAGCAAAGAGAAACUCUAGAGAAGAGGAUAAGAUGAAGAUCAAAGAAAGAGAUCAAGUGUUGAUUGAAUUCAGGCUUCGUUCAAAUUCAACAGGUUAAAUUUUUGGAGAAGAAAAUUCAGAUUGAAGAGGGCUGUUCCAGGCUGAUCCUGAGUGGAUACUCAUAGAGACUAGA
rnacentral:lncRNA from 1 species